UACGGAGGGGGGCUAGCGUUGUUUGGAAUUACUGGGCGUAAAGCGCACGUAGGCGGCUUUGCAAGUCAGAGGUGAAAGCCCGGGGCUCAACUCCGGAAUUGCCUUUAAGACUGCAUCGCUAGAAUUGUGGAGAGGUAAGUGGAAUUCCGAGUGUAGAGGUGAAAUUCGUAGAUAUUCGGAAGAACACCAGUGGCGAAGGCGACUUACUGGACACAUAUUGACGCUGAGGUGCGAAAGCGUGGGGAGCAAACAGG
rnacentral:rRNA from 1 species